UAUGUUCCAAAUUUUGGUGAUAUGAUGUUCCAAAUAUUGGUUCGCCUUUGCAGGCUGGUUAUUCUGUUUUGCCUCGUGGAGAUCCAGAUAUGGUAAUCAAGUUAAAGUUGGCACAAUUGCAACAACAACAGCUACUGGAU